rnacentral:tRNA from 1 species
CCCUAGUGGCUCAGAUGGUAAAGAAUCUGCCUGCAAUGCAGAAGACCUGGGUUCGAUCCCUGAGUCGGGA